rnacentral:lncRNA from 1 species
CUGAACUUAAUUUGUAAUAUAAUAUUUUAUGCGAUGUUUUCAUAUUUGAUAAGAAUCCACGAUCAACACAGAAAUCUAAUGAUAUGCAUAUAAAUUAUCUCCAAUUUUGAAAUAAAUUAUAAAAUUUCUAUUUAAGAACUCCAUAAAAUCUGGUUAAAACCUCGUAAGUUCUUCAUUGACCCGUGAUCUGGCUAUGGUUGACCCGAUAAAAACCUAGAUAAAUCUAUUGAUCUUUAAAAAAUUAACUUAAAUUUAGUUUAAUAAUAAAUUAGUCAAAUAAUUUUUAUUUCAUGAAACUGAGAUAAAAAUCUAAUUAUAUUGGAAUAUUUAAAGACAAUAAGACUAUAAAGCACAAGAUAUUCAGGUCUAGUGGUUGUGGUAAGGAAUGUUAGCUAAUUUGUCUCGUGUUCGGAUUUUGGGAAGUUUUUUUUGUUUUUUUUUUAAUUUAUUUUCAUUUUAUUAAUAGCACAAUCGUAAUUAAACUGUCUUCCUCCUAAAGCCAGCUUUUAAGUUUCAUGUAACUUUCUCCAUGGUUGCUAUCUGAGUUUCUUUACAGCUUAGCAUUUUUCUUAUAAACGGCUUCUAAACUACUCAAAUAUACAGAGCCGGUAGCCAGUAUUCGAUUGCAAUCAUUCAAAAAUCAAAAUAGUAAAUUUUUUUUUAUCAAACGAUUUUUUAGCCGAGAUUAAAUUGAUUCAUAUUGUUUUGGUAACUGCUUAUGUAACUAAUCUGUAGGAAGAAAGAUAAUCAAUUACUAUAUUAUAAUACUUGGUUUAUUUUUUAGUAGGUCAUAACAAUCGUAAAAAAGAGAAAGAGGAAACUGUUUUU